rnacentral:rRNA from 1 species
CAGCCGCCGCGGUACUACGUAGGGACCGAGCGUUAUCCGGAAUUACUGGGCGUAAAGCGCGUGCAGGCGGUUUAAUAAGUCAGACGUGAAAGCUCUCGGCUCAACUGAGAGAGGUCGUUUGAAACUGUUAGACUUGAGAGUGGUAGAGGAGAGUAGAAUUCCCGGUGUAGUGGUGAAAUGCGUAAAUAUCGGGAGGAAUACCAGAGGCGAAGGCGGCUCUCUGGACCACAUCUGACGCUCAGACGCGAAAGCUAGGGGAGAGAACGGGAUUAGAAACCCCGGUAUUCCUAGCCGUAAACGAUGUCAACUAGGCGUGGGGGAUGUAAGUCCUCCGUGCUGCAGCAAACGCGAUAAGUUGACCGCCUGGGGAGUACGGCCGCAAGGCUAAAACUCAAAGGAAUUGACGGGGACCCGCACAAGCAGCGGAGCGUGUGGUUUAAUUCGAGGCUACGCGAAGAACCUUACCAGGGCUUGACAUACACGUAGUAGGGAAGCGAAAGCGGAACGACCCUUCGGGGAGCGUGUACAGGUGCUGCAUGGCUGUCGUCAGCUCGUGUCGUGAGAUGUUCGGUUAAGUCCGGUAACGAGCGCAACCCUCAUCGUUAGUUAUAAGUGUCUAGCGAGACUGCCCGUGAUAAGCGGGAGGAAGGUGGGGAUGACGUCAAGUCAGCAUGGCCUUUAUGUCCUGGGCUACACACACGCUACAAUGGCCGGUACAAUGGGUAGCCAAGCCGCGAGGUGGAGCCAAUCCCCCAAAGCCGGUCCUCAGUUCGGAUUGCAGGCUGCAACUCGCCUGCAUGAAGUCGGAGUUGCUAGUAACCGCGCGUCAGC